rnacentral:rRNA from 1 species
UACGUAGGGUGCGAGCGUUAAUCGGAAUUACUGGGCGUAAAGCGUGCGCAGGCGGUGAUGUAAGACAGAUGUGAAAUCCCCGGGCUCAACCUGGGAACUGCAUUUGUGACUGCAUCGCUGGAGUGCGGCAGAGGGGGAUGGAAUUCCGCGUGUAGCAGUGAAAUGCGUAGAUAUGCGGAGGAACACCGAUGGCGAAGGCAGCCCCCUGGGAUAACACUGACGCUCA